rnacentral:rRNA from 1 species
UUUUUCUCGCGGGGUGGUGUGAUCUGCCCGAAAGAGCGUACUGCUAUAUGGAGAUGAGGAGAUAAAGACCAUGCGAGUCAAGGGAUCUCCGGAUCACUGGCGUAAUGCUCAAUAACACGUGGACAAUCUGCCCUCGGGUGGGGAAUAAACUCGCGAAAGUGAGGCUAAUACCCCAUAGGCACAGGAGGCUGGAAUGCAUCUGUGCCCAAAGCUCCGGCGCCCGAAGAUGACUCUGCGGCCUAUCAGGUAAUACUCAGGGUCAAGACCUGACUACCCAGCGACGGGUACGGGCCUUGAGAGAGGUCGCCCGGAGAUGGACUCUGAGACACGAGUCCAGGCCCUACGGGGCGCAACAGGCGCGAAAACUUCGCAAUGCAAGAAACUGUGACGAGGGAACUCCAAGUGUCCAUGCAUUGCAUGGACUGUUUGCCAGCCUAAAAAGCUGGUAGAGUAAGGGGUGGGAAAGACCGGUGCCAGCCGCCGCGGUAACACCGGCACCUCAAGUGGUAGCCACUAUUAUUGGGCCUAAAGCGUUCGUACCCGGCUUGGUUAAUUCCUGGGUAAAUCAUACCGCUCAACGGUGCAGAUUCCGGGGACACUGCCACGCUUGACACCGGGAGAGAUCAGAGGUACUUGCGGGGGAGCGGUGAAAUGUUGUAAUCCCGCAGGGACCACCAAUGGCGAACGCAUCUGAUCAAAACGGCUCUGACGGUGAGGGACGAAACCCUGGGGCGCAAACGGGAUUAGAUACCCCGGUAGUCCAGGGCGUAAACGCUGCUGACUUGGUGUUGGGGGCCCUGCGAGGGCGUCCAGUGCCGGCACGAAGGUAUUGACUCAGCCGCCUGGGGAGUACGGUCGCAAGACUGAAACUAAAGGAAUGGCGGGAGAACAGCAGACGACAACGGUGGUGGAGCGUGCGUGUUAUUAAUGUGGUCUUCUCACCCCCCCCCGCGGAAGAAA